rnacentral:lncRNA from 1 species
GCGGCCCAGGCUACUGUGAGAGGGCGCUCGAGGCUGCUGGAGAGCUAGCCUGCGAAGGAGGCGGGGAGGCGGCGGCCGCGCUCACUCGCCCGCUCGCUAGCUUGUUUCUCCGUGUCGCUGCGGGUCCAUCGCUGCGCUUCUUGCUCCCCUAUUGCUCCACUGCACGCCGCAGGAGCAACAGCCCAUCGUCCAGGUCCCAGCUGGGUUUUGGAGUCGUGCGCACCGGUGGACACCGCGCGCGGGUUGAGCCGGCGCCACACCUGUGGAGCCGGCGGCCGUCGAGGGUGCCGGCCGAGGUCCCGAGGCGAGCGUGCUCAGGGAGCCGGCCGCCCGAGCCCCGGGGGAGGCGCGACCCCUGGCUGGGCGCCGUGGGCAGCAUGGGGCUCCCCGCGCUCGAGUUCAGUGACUGCUGCCUCGACAGCCCGCACUUCCGAGAGACGCUGAAGUCUCACGAAGCAGAGCUGGAUAAGACCAACAAAUUCAUCAAGGAGCUCAUCAAAGACGGGAAGUCACUCAUCAUCGCGCUCAAGAGUGAGUACCCCGAGCUCCGU